ACGGAGGAUCCGAGCGUUAUCCGGAUUUAUUGGGUUUAAAGGGAGCGUAGGUGGACUGGUAAGUCAGUUGUGAAAGUUUGCGGCUCAACCGUAAAAUUGCAGUUGAUACUGUCAGUCUUGAGUACAGUAGAGGUGGGCGGAAUUCGUGGUGUAGCGGUGAAAUGCUUAGAUAUCACGAAGAACUCCGAUUGCGAAGGCAGCUCACUGGACUGCAACUGACACUGAUGCUCGAAAGUGUGGGUAUCAAACAG
rnacentral:rRNA from 2 species